rnacentral:rRNA from 1 species
CCUCGGGUUGUAAAGCACUUUGUUCCGGAAAGAAAACUUACUGCAUUAAUACUGUGGGAGGAUGACGGUACCGGAAGAAUAAGCACCCGGCUAACUACGUGC